UAUCUCUGUAGAGUCUGCAUAUCAAUAAGCGGAGGAAAAGAAACUAACUAGGAUUCCCUCAGUAACGGCGAGUGAAGCGGGAAGAGCUCAAAUUUGAAAUCUUCAAGGUUCUACCUUGACGAAUUGUAGUUUAAAGAAGUGUUUUCUGUUGGAGUUUUGGUAAAAGUUCUUUGGAAUAGGACAUCAUAGAGGGUGAGAAUCCCGUAUUUGACCAUUAGUUUCCAGCUUUGUGAUACACUUUCAAGGAGUCGGAUUGUUUGGGAAUGCAGUCCAAAAUGGGUGGUAAAUUUCAUCUAAAGCUAAAUAUUGGCGAGAGACCGAUAGCGAACAAGUACCGUGAGGGAAAGAUGAAAAGAACUUUGAAAAGAGAGUUAAACAGUACGUGAAAUUGUCAAAAGGGAAGCGUUUGACACCAGUGUUGUUUUCUCGAAAAUCAAUUAAAAAAGGCAGGAUUUUGUGUUGUAUUGACUUUAUCAGCUUUCUGCACUCUUUUCUUGUCUUUUUUUAAUGCACUUUUCGUUUAACAAGUCAACAUCAAUUUCUUUUGUUGUAAAAGGGUCAUUGGAAGGUGGCUUUCUUUUCGGAGAAAGUGUUUAUAGCCUUUGGCCUCUGCAAUCGGAGAGAUUGAGGUCUGCAGCGUAGAUCCUUCGGGGUUAGAUACAGUUAGAUGCUAAGUUAUAGCCUUUUCUAUAGACAACUUGUUGACUAUAAUUCAUCAUGUAGCUUACUCGCUUAUGCGCUAUUUUACCUACGCUUAGGAUGUUGACGAUCAGCUGAGCGCG
rnacentral:rRNA from 1 species